AACGAACGCUGGCGGCAUGCCUAACACAUGCAAGUCGAACGAGACCUUCGGGUCUAGUGGCGCACGGGUGCGUAACGCGUGGGAACCUGCCCUUAGGUUCGGAAUAACUCCCCGAAAGGGGUGCUAAUACCGGAUAAUGUCUUCGGACCAAAGAUUUAUCGCCUUUGGAUGGGCCCGCGUUGGAUUAGCUAGUUGGUAGGGUAAAAGCCUACCAAGGCGACGAUCCAUAGCUGGUCUGAGAGGAUGAUCAGCCACACUGGGACUGAGACACGGCCCAGACUCCUACGGGAGGCAGCAGUGGGGAAUAUUGGAAAAUGGGCGAAAGCCUGAUCCAGCACUGCCGCGUGAGUGAUGAAGGCCUUAGGGUUGUAAAGCUCUUUUACCCGGGAUGAUAAUGACAGUACCGGGAGAAUAAGCCCCGGCUAACUCCGUG
rnacentral:rRNA from 1 species